UACGGGGGGUGCGAGCGUUAAUCGGAAUAACUGGGCGUAAAGGGCACGCAGGCGGACUUUUAAGUGGGGUGUGAAAUCCCCGGGCUUAACCUGGGAAUUGCAUGUCAUACUGGAAGUCUAGAGUACAUGAGGGAGGGGUAGAAUUCCACGUGUAGCGGUGAAAUGCGUAGAGAUGUGGAGGAAUACCGAAGGCGAAGGCAGCCCCUUGGGAAUGUACUGACGCUCAUGUGCGAAAGCGUGGGGAGCAAACAGG
rnacentral:rRNA from 1 species